rnacentral:lncRNA from 1 species
ACCCAUAUUUAUGUAUCAAUCAAACUCCAGCAGCCUCACUGUGAGUAGUAGUACUAUAUCAAGUCAAAGGAUCAGACACACAACUAUAACAUUGAGAUAAUCACUGAUGAUUGAAUAGAAAUCUAAGUGAUCUCUCGUAUUGUCAUGCUCAGUGCUAGUUGUUCCCUAACAACCAUCCACACUCGUCGCCCUGUGUCUCUACAUAUUAGAUUAAAGACCCAUCUAUCCCA